GGCAGGACCCCCGCAAGGUGGCCGAGCAGCGCCUGAGUGGAGGGCGGCGGCGCCUCGUGAGGGCGGCGGGAGUAAGGGCCCUAGGGUGGCGCGCGGGGCGCCGCGGCGGGGGGCAACGGGACGGCCACCCCGCGCGCAGCCUGAGGGGACGCGGCCGCUCUCCGCCCUCCCCCGCAGCUCCGGCUUCUGGAGCCCGCACCCACCAGAGGCUUCUUUGGAGGGCGGGCAGACUGGCUUUCGCAAAAGUAAAUCGCAUUUGCGUUAAAAUCGGACGCAGUAGAAGGGAAAAAGCCCCCAUACUUUGCCCGACUGGCUUUCUCCCCGAGAUGCCGCUGCAAAAAGGGCUCCGGGAAGACACGAUGGCUGCUCAGCACCUUCACUGCUCAUGAGAGCCCUGUUUUUUCCUCUCUGAAGCUGCACAUCCCGCUGUAACACGCACGCUGGGAGAUGGGCUGUCCCAGCCCCUUCCUAAGGUGCUGCAUGCAGACAGCAAGUUAAAAACCUCUGAGAAGGUGGUUUGAAUAAAAGCCUCUCGCUUCCACGGUGUAUUAUUGCAGCUUGAAACUGAGUCAAUUACUUUCCCUUGGCACCCUUCUUAACUCAUCUGGGAACCAGAAUUAUCCAUAGCUGCCUCUGUGCCACUGAGGCCCAGACCAUGUGAAGCUAAGGUAUCAUCAGCCCUCUGGCUGUGUCUCACAACUGAUGAUAAAACACUGUCCAGUUCCACAGGUGUCUGGCUUACAAGCAAGCUCUGCUGGAUUUUUCUGCAUAUUUGCUGUAUGCUUUUAGGAGCUUUGACAAACUAAUCUUUAGAAUCUUCUGUUAAUAGUUUGUGCUAAACAACUAAUUGAUUGCAAGUGCGGGAAAAACCCAGCAGAAACAGAUGAAGCUUCAGAGGAGUUUACUCUUGACGAGCCUUCAAGAAGCAUGUCAACACACAU